UACGUAGGGUGCAAGCGUUAAUCGGAAUUACUGGGCGUAAAGCGUGCGCAGGCGGCUUUGCAAGACAGAUGUGAAAUCCCCGGGCUUAACCUGGGAACUGCAUUUGUGACUGCAUGGCUGGAGUGCGGCAGAGGGGGGUAGAAUUCCACGUGUAGCAGUGAAAUGCGUAGAGAUGUGGAGGAAUACCGAUGGCGAAGGCAGCCCCCUGGGAUAACACUGACGCUCAUGCCACGAAAGCGUGGGGAGCAAACAGG
rnacentral:rRNA from 1 species